AUGCGUGAUCAGGUCGGUAUCGACCUAGAUGGCUUCCCCCUCAACCACGAGUUCCCGGACGACUACGAGCUGGAGGAAGUGGACGAGUGCAACAUCGAUGUGGAGCCUUUGUUCGAGGACGAGCUCACCAACCAAGCCACCGGUCCUAAGCCGAAGCGCAAGAGCAAGCGAACGAAGGUGUACACAACUGCCGAGGACAAGCUUCUUUGCGAGUGUUGCCGAGACAUUGGCCAAGACCCAAAGACGGGCGCUGAGAAAAAGCAUUCGACCUUUUGGACUCGUGUGCACCGAGUGUUCUUUGAGCGCAAGAAGUUUCCACCUUACCAAUUUGUGAGCAUGCGUGGCUGGGUCUCCAUUUCCAAGCGGUGGAGGAUGAUCCAACAAGAGUGCAACAAGUUUUGCGCCACCCUUGAGAGCGUCAAGGCUCGCCCCGUGAGCGGCAUCGGCAUUCAAGACAUGGUAUGCUAG
rnacentral:rRNA from 1 species